GUACUAGCUUCGGCAGCACAUAUACUAAAAUUGGAAUGAUAGAAGAUUAGCAUGGUCCCUGUGCAAGGAUGACAUGCAAAUUCAUGAAGCACUCGAUAUUAAA